CUGACAUUACAACAAGUCCUGCACUAACCUGACUAUCACUGAACAAUGAGGACUGUCUGGAGUUUAGUUGUCAUAUACAGUAAGUUAAACAUUACAAUGAGCCCUGCGCUAACUAAUACUGAACAAUGGAACUGAUGAGCCUCUGGAGUUUAGUUGUCAUGGUGAUGUCCAUAGACAGUAAGGUGUUUGUUGUGAUGUCAGACUGGAUCAGUCAAGGAGACUAAAAAAAUUAUCAUGAAAAACAUCUGGAUUUACAACGACAGACUAUUAUAUAAACUGGAUGAGGCAGCAACCAGGAAAAAGACUAGAGUUGAUUGGUAUAAUUAUGGUUCAGGCUCUGCUACCUGCUCAGACUGCCUGAAAGGCUGGUUCACCCUGACUUAGGAUGUCUCCAAAAACACACAGUUCUUAGAGGCCAAGAUUCUGAGAGCAAAGGACUCUGAUGUUUGUUAUUGUGCUGGACAGACACAGUGACUGGAGCUGGUGAAGCAGCUGUACAAAACCCUCAGCUCCAGUCUCUGUUAACAUCAAUCCCAUGGCCCCACCAACACUAUGGGAUGGAGUAAACACAUCCUACUGUAAAUUAUAACCCAAAUAUUAAAAAUAUAUGUAUAACUUGAAAAGCAUUAAAUAUUCCUGACAACCUGUCAAGAUAACUGUAUGAA